GACAGAGGUGCCGAGCGUUAGGCGGAAUCACUGGGCUUAAAGCGUGUGUAGGCGGAUCGUUAAGUGCCUUGUGAAAUCCCACGGCUCAACCGUGGAACUGCUUGGCAUACUGGCGAUCUUGAGCCACUUAGGGGCUACCGGAACAAAUGGUGGAGCGGUGAAAUGCGUAGAUAUCAUUUGGAACGCCAAUGGUGAAAACAGCUCGCUGGGAAUGAUCUGACGCUGAGACGCGAAAGCCAGGGGAGCGAACGGG
rnacentral:rRNA from 1 species